rnacentral:rRNA from 1 species
AUUGAACGCUGGCGGCAUGCCUUACACAUGCAAGUCGAACGGCAGCACGGGAGCAAUCCUGGUGGCGAGUGGCGAACGGGUGAGUAAUAUAUCGGAACGUGCCCAGUAGUGGGGGAUAACUGCUCGAAAGAGCAGCUAAUACCGCAUACGACCUGAGGGUGAAAGGGGGGGAUCGCAAGACCUCUCGCUAUUGGAGCGGCCGAUAUCAGAUUAGCUAGUUGGUGGGGUAAAGGCCUACCAAGGCAACGAUCUGUAGUUGGUCUGAGAGGACGAGCAGCCACACUGGGACGGAGACACGGCCCAGACUCCUACGGGAGGCAGCAGUGGGGAAUUUUGGACAAUGGGCGCAAGCCUGAUCCAGCAAUGCCGCGUGCAGGAAGAAGGCCUUCGGGUUGUAAACUGCUUUUGUCAGGGAAGAAAUCCUCUAGGUUAAUACCCUUGGGGGGAUGACGGUACCUGAAGAAUAAGCACCGGCUAACUACGUGCCAGCCGCCGCCGUAAAAC